rnacentral:misc_RNA from 1 species
AAAAAUCUCAAAUAGAACGUACGUUUUAGCCAAAAAUCUAGAAAAAUAUGAACUCAAAUAGCAAACUUUCGGGUACUCAAGAGGACAUUGGGAAGAAAAAAAAAAUCAAGUGCAGCUCAUACAGCCUAGCCUAACAUAUUCUAGAAUGGGAAUCUAGGCCUGCCUGUUUCUCUUCUUGACACCAGAUUUCGCAAUCUUGAGACUCUUGUUCACAGCACUCAAUCUUGCAAGGGAUGCCUUCUUCAGAUCUGGCCUGUAAUAGUUAUCUGCUACCUGGUUUGAUACAGCCUUGGCCAUGCACCGAAACUCCUUCUUCAUUACAGAUUUAUUCAGCAAACUUGAAGGCUUGUUCUGUUUCUUGGUCUUUGAAGUAGCAAGCAACACUGAUUGAUCUUUGCCUCCAGGCUGGAUGGUCACAGUCUUCUUGUUUGCUAGGCCAGAAUGCUUGUAAGAGUGAAGAUUGUAAAGAUUGUUAGGCUCUUUGCUGAAUACGACACCGGCGGUACCAUUACCAAACUCCUUCACCAAAAAUGAGUUGUUUUUCUUGACGAUCUCCCAAACCAGUUGCCCUGGAACUGUCGUCAUUUCAACACCACCUACCUGUGAGUAGCAAAAGGGUCUGUAGAGUUUCGAUUCGACGGCCUGUGCAAGAAGACGCAAUAAACUUAAAAGGAAGACG